GACUGGCAAAAAAAAAAAAAAAAAAAAAAGUGGUUCCACAGGCAAAACAGAAUCAUGCUAGGCAUUUCAAAUGCAACAUGGUUUAGUACAGGGAGUUACAUGUUUCACAAGAGGAAGAAAGCUUAGUGUGUUGACUCAAGCCUGUAAUCCUAGCUACUUAAGGGGUAGAGAUCAAAGGACUUAGUUUUGAGGCCACCCAGGUAAAAAAAGAAAAGUUUAUGAGACUCCAUCUCAUCAGCCAAUGCCUGGGCAUGGUGUUGCAUGUUUGUUGUUCUAGCUACAGGGAAAGCACAGUGGCUAGGUGAAGUUGUGUGUACCUGUAAUUCUCCAGCAAUGCUAGGAAGCAUAAAAAGGAGGAUGCAGCCCAAGUCAGCCUGGGAAUGAAACAAGACCCUACAAUAACCAAUACAAAAUGGCUGGAGGCAAGACUGAUGGGUAGAGUGUCUACCUAGCAAAUAUGAGGCCCUCAGUACAAGUAGAGUGAGCAUCACUAACAUUCUAUACUUAAGCAGAUAUAGCUACGGCUUCUGUAAUGCAGGAAAUUGCUGUCAAUAUCACAGGUGCUCACUAGCUCUGAGAUAGCUGACUAGUAAGGGAAUGUGAAAACCAUUGCAACUCUAAUCCAAGGGAAGAAAACUUUCCACCUCUAGCUCCCUUUCCACCAUUUCCUGAAAUUCAUCUCAUAGCCCAAAAACAUGGCAGAGGGUUUUGAGUACUAUGGGCUGUAGCCUCUCAGCAUUUUUCUGUCAGGC